rnacentral:lncRNA from 10 species
GGCUGGUCUUCCCUGUGCUAUUCUCGUGAUAGUGAGUAAGUCUCACAACAUCUGAUGGGUUUAUCAGGGGUUUCUGCUUUUGCUUCUUCCUCAUUUUCUCUUGCCUCUGCUAUGUAAGAAAACCUUUCACCUCCCACCAUGAUUUUGAGACCUCCCCAGCCAAGUGGAACUGAAGGGUCCUGUCCUGUACCCGGGAGGAAGAAAUGCUACACAGAGAAGCCAAGAUGAAUCUGAACAGACAGCCUUUGAUGUUAGAAGACACUGAGGCAUCAACAGGGUUUAAUUCCAUACUCUGUCAUCGAAUAUAGCAAUUGUAAUUGCACCAAUCAGCACUUUGUGUCAAGCUCAAGAUUUGUAAAUGCACCGAUCAGCACUCUGUGUCUAGCUCAAGGUUUGUAAACGUAACUGUGUCUAGCUCAAGGUUUGUAAAUGCACCAAUCAGUGCUCUGUGUCUAGCUAAUCUACUGGGGACUUGGAGAACUUUUGCGGCUAGGUAAAGGAUUGUAAACGGACCAAUCAGCUCUCUGUAAAACGGACCAAUCAGCUCUCUGUAAAAUGGACCAAUCAGCUCUCUGUAAAAUGGACCAAUCAGCAGGAUGUGGGUGGAGUCAGACAAGGGAAUAAAAGCAUACUGCCUGAGUCAGCAGGGGUGAGCAAGCAGAGGUGAGCCAGCAGGGGUAACCUGCUCGCAUCCCCUUCCACGCUGUGGAAGCUUUGUUCUUCUGCUUUUUGCUAUAAAUCUUGCUGCAGCUCACUCUCUGGGUGGGGCUGCCUUUAUGAGCUGUGAGUUGUAACACUCACCGCAGAGGUCUGCAGCUUCACUCCUGAGGCCAGUGAGACCAUGAACCCACCGGAGGGAAUGAGCAACUCCAGACACACUGCCUUUAAGAACUGUAACACUCGGUUUGAGAGUCCGUGGCUUCAUUCUUGAAGUCAGCAAGACCAAGAACCCACAAAUUCCAGACACAUAAUGACCAUAGCAACUUAAUCAGAACUCAGUGAGUAGUAGAUUUGAACUUAAGAAAAUGCAACAAAAACUAAAGUAGGUUUUACUAAAAUAUAUGAUUUAAUAAACUCUAAAUCUACAGAUUUUGCUGAAGUUCUUAUAAUUGGGUCAUAGCAGUAAAUUCAAUAAACGACUUCUAAAAUGCUUUAAUGGUGUUUGUGUCCUGGACAUGAUUUUCCCCAAGAAGAACUGUUGUAUUCACCCUACCUUUAACUGUUUCUAGUCAGUUCCACAGAUUCCAUAAAAGUUAACUCCAGAGCAGAGAAUGAUGCCACAGUCGGGAUAACAUCCAAUAUUUGCAAUCAGAAGAAAUAUGAGAGUCUUGCUCCAUCACCCAGGCUGCAGUGCAGUGGCACGAUCUUGGCUCACUGCAAGCUCCACCUCCCGGGUUCACGCCAUUCUCCUGCCUCAGCCUCCCAAGUAGCUGGGACUACAGGCGCCCACCACCACGCCCAGCUAAAUUUUUUUGUAUUUUUAGUAGAGAUGGGGUUUCACUGUGUUAGCCAGGAUGGUCUCGAUUUCCUGACCUCGUGAUCUGCCUGCCUCGGCCUCCCAAAGUGCUGGGAUUACAGGCGUGAGCCACUGUGCCCGGCCGUAAUUAUUCUUUUCGUGUUAAGCAAUGGUAAAAGAACUGACUGAAAAUAAGAAUAUUAAAAAGUUUCUCUGCUAAAAACAGAAAAUUAUGUUUGUUACCAUUCCUACUAUAACCCCAGUGAUAUGGCUCCGAUGAGUGGAGGAACACCAGGGUUCUUGGUCUUCAUGCCAGUUUAGAUAAAACAACACAGACAUACGUGGAGUGGUUUUAAGGAGCAGACAGUUUAAUAGGCAAGAAGAAAAGAGAAGGCAGAAGGAAAAGGCUCCCCGAUACAAAGACAGAGGGAGGGGGCCUCCAAAGCCAAAAGAGGAAAUCCCAAGUGCAGUGGAUACCAGCCAGGUAUAUGUAGAGGCUGGAGGAGGUGGUGUCUGAUUUGCAUAGGGCUCAGGGGAUUGGUUUGACCAGGCCUGUAAUUCACGGGGCCUGAAAAAGCUGGCCCUCCCACCCUAGCAUUUAAUAUGCAAAUGCAGGGCGCCACGAUGUUCUACAAAUGGUGGGUAUAUGUGGGAGCGGCCAUGUUGCCAGGAACAUGUGGGGCAAGGGCAAGAAGGCCACGGGAAUCACCAUGUUUGGGUAGACGCAGUUUCUAAUGGCUUGCAUUUGCCUAUCAAAGGUUGCCAGCCGCUCUAAGAGCCAGGGCAUUCCAAUUCUGGAGCUGCUUUAAAAAUGAAAACUUCCCAAGGAUCCCUUUUCUUUUCUAUCUGCCUAAAAUAAUUUCUUAAUAACUCCUACAACACAAUGAUUUUCAGUGAAACAAAAGCUGCUGUUUUAUUUUUGUUAAAUUGUUUUUCUUAGCUAAAGAGAUAAAAGUGAGGAUGAGGGAUUCAAAAUGUGGUUUACUUUAUAGAGCUUGCAAAACUCACAGCAUUUAAAGCAGUUUUUAACAGGAGUAUGGGGAUAGGGCUUGAAUGAACUUGGAAAUGCCAUUCAAUUGCUAAAAUCAUAUGCAUCACAUUGUGUUCGUCUGCACAUACGUGCACUUUUCUGGUAAGAAGUUUCAAACUUACAACAAAUUUUCAAAAGAGGUCUAUACUUUUGAAAGUAUAAGAAAUCACUUAGUUUACUGACUUUCCUUAUUUCAGGCCACAUCCAAAAGUACAAAACAGCACAUUUACAUUUUGUAUUUCACAUUUUUUUCAAUACUUACCUUGGGAGCCAUAGGCCCUGCUAAAGUUUUGCUGAAAAAUCAUGGACAUGAUGCAGAUUAAUUAAGAGGAGAAAAGGCAUAUAGAUUUAUUUAACAUGUAUACACAGGAGCAUUCAAAAUGAAGACCCAGCUUCUCCAUGAGUUACAGAAACUUAUAUACCAUCUUGAGUUUGCAGAACGAAUGGGGGCUUGCAUCCUGGUAAGACAGGAUAUAGGAAGAAGGAGAAGAGAAAUUCUAUUGAGGGGCAAUAAAUGACUGUGAAGGAGAAUGAUUGGAUCAGGGAACAGAGAUUAACUUUGUAAAUAGUUUUCUUUGAAAUUUAAAUGAUCCUUGGAGACAAUCAUUGUUCUUAUUAAAAGGUCUGUUCAGGUAUUGGUCACAUCUUGGCCUUCUUUUCUGCAAUAGAUAAUGAGAUAACAGAGAUGGGAAGAAAACACAAUAGUUCUCAUUGGUAGGUCUGGAUCCUAAGCAGAUAAAGGAACUUCAGUUUAUUUGGGAGAGACAGUGGUGGUGAGAGGCCAAAGAGAUCUUCAGGCUUCUUCAGCUCAGCAUGUCAAAAUGCCAUAUUUUGGUAUAUGAAUUUCUGAGCCCCAACAUUCUCCCAUCUGAAACUUCCCUAGGAGUUUCACAAACUAAAAGCUGAGUUAGUGGCUGUGGAAGAGAAAAGUUAAGCUAAAAUAUGAAUGGCAAAUAAUUCUAUUUAACCAAUCUGUGAAUAGGUCAAUUAAACACCUCUUUCAUUUUAGGAGAUAGCAUUGCAGAUGGGCUUUCAAACAGAAGAAAAACAGGUUAAUUUUGGAAACAGUCUAUAAACCAGUUUCCUUACAGUCUGCAGGGCAGUCAGUUGAGGUGUCCAGAUGUUAGACUCAAAGCCCAGUUAAAGAGGAAGCCAGCAAUGGCAAUCUGACAAGAUUUUUUUUGCCUGUUUCAAAAAGUUUAAGCUUUAGCUUAUAGGGCCUCAGGAAAAAGGUAGUAGCAAUUCCAUUGAGUCCAAGUAAGAAAAAUCCUUUUGAAUUUUUUAUUACCAGAUUUUAGUGAGGAUAAACAGCUGAUAUUUCUGGCUUUUAAACAUUUUUUUUUUUAACCAAUGACAUCCUCCCAAGUACCAUAAUCGAGGUUAUAACUUAAGCAUAAGGUGUCUUCAAAGAGGUGGCAAACACUUUUUACAAGAUAUAAAAUUACCCCAAAGAUAGCUCAAAGAAAGGAAAAUUUUGGUAGCCAUAAAUGGAGUGUGACUCACAUUUCUGUUUGGCCAGUCUCUGGAGUCUCAGCUGCUCAGCUCAUUUUCUACAUACAGAAGCCAAAAUGCCUCAUAUGCCCCCACAGAUGAAAGACAGGAAAUCAAAAUCUGUCCAUGGAAGGGAAAAUAAUCAAUAAAUUUUGGGAAGGUAACACAAACGUCAAUCCAGAAAGCACUAAGUCCCUUGCCAGAAGUUUAAUCCAGGCUGCUGUGGUAAAAGGGCAGACCUUGGCUACUAGGUUACAACAUGAGGUGGUCUUUAUUGUUCUUCCCAGAAGAAAUCCAGAGCAGACAGUUUCAAUUUACAAAGGAAAAUGGCAACAACAACAACAACAACAAAUCACCUAUUUCUGAGAGGAAAGGGGGGGUCGAAGAAUGUGAAUAUUCAUACCUCACAGUACUGAAAGUACACUGGAGUCACUAUAACCCAAGACUCAUCACACAAAUCCUUUUUUCUCAUUAAUAAAAUCAUUGCAGAUGAGACAAACAAUGAUUUUUUCCCAUCCACUCAACUGGAAUGCAAAGAGAGAGAGAGGUCAGGAGACUGGCUGGUAAGAAAUUCUUAUCCCUUUGCUGGCAGGUCAGGUUCCUGGGUUCUCUUUACUGCAGCUUAUAGAAGAGAAGAGCAGCUUUGAUUACCCUGCUCACUGCACUAUACUGUGGUGGCCAUAGGCUCUUGGUCCCUUGAAGUUUCACUGAAAAAAAAAUCACUGACAUGAAGCAGAUAAAUUAAUAGGGGAAAAGGCAUGUAAAUCUAUUUAGCAUGUAUACACAGGAGCCUUCAGAAUGAAGACCCAACUUCUUCAUGAGUUACAGAAACUUGAGGUUACAAAAGAAUGGGGGCUCGCAUCCUGGUAAAACAGGUUAUGGGAACGGUGGAGGGGGAAGAGGAAUUUUACUGAUGGGCAAUAAAUGAUUGCAAGGGAGAAUGACUGGAUUGGGGAACAGAGAUUAACUGAUCUGUAGAGACAGUAAUUAUCCUCAUAAAAAGGUCUGUGCAGGUAUGGUCACAGCUUCUUUUCUGCAGUAGAUAAUGAGAUAAUGGGGAGGGAAAGAAAAAGACAAAUUAUUCUCCUUGGUGGGUCUGGAUUUUAGGCAGAUAAAGGAACUUCAGCUUCUUUGGGUGAGAUCAUGUGGAGAUUAGGUCAGAGAGACCUUGAAGCUUCUUCAGCUUAGCAUGUCAAAACAUCAUAUUUUGGGGUAACAAUUUCUGAGCCCAACAUUAUUAUGUCAACCCCUCCAGGAAACUGCAAUUGAGCAGAAUAGAUAGUAAUGAUACUAAGGUUAUAAGGGUGUUAAAAGAUAACAUUUUUUAAGGGUAAAAGCAUUCUUCUCAAAAAAUAUAAAACACAUGAAGAUUCUAUUAAAUUCAUUAAUUAAUAAUGGAAUCAAAUGUUAGAACCAGUUCAGAGUAGUUCUUUUUAAUGACACAAAUGUAGGGAAUAAGGAAUGCUAAAACAAAAUUUUAAAUAAAGACAGAAGUGAUCUAUCUACAGGACAAUAACCAACUGCAUUCCACAAGGACCCAAUUUGUUUGUAUUUCAACUGAAAAGAAUCAUUCACAUUAUUAUGAGUUUUAAAUCCUUCAAAAACAAUGACAAGCACAGAGAUUGCAGAUGGGUACACUAUAAAGGCUGCCAGCGAUCUCCCCCUCCCUCAUUUCGAAUCUGUCACAAUUUUUCUGACAUGCAUUUGCAGAGAAAUUGUGAUGAAGUUUUUUUCUGUCACACAAAAGGCAAGCAUCCAAUUUGACUGAGGGAGUCAAAGGUAGUCCCCACAGAAGUGGUAUUUAAAUGAAUGUUGAAUGAAUGUGCAUUAAGUAAAGAAUAUCUAUGGGGACUUAACAUUUGAAAGGUUCUGGGGCAUCUGAAAAAACAGAGCAAAGCUGUUGGAUGACAAUGGAAUGCUAAUUUAGAGUCGUGUUUGGAAGAACUGAGGUCCCAGUGGUGGAAUUUGAGUUUAUGAUUUCCCAAAGUACGCCUCCUAGAGGAGGAAGUAUACAUCAGUGCUUGAUGGCUUUGAGAGAGUCUUGAGAGUGUAGCCUGCAGCUUCUCAAUGAAAAAUGUCAAAUUUAUCUGCAAUCAUGUUUUAUCUUAAAAUUUCGCUUGGUUUUUAAUAUAACAAUCUAUGAGAUUACAACUUAUUGAGUAAAAUUUAUUGUGCUUAGUACAUGAGAGGAAAGAAGUAUAUAUUGGUUUUGAAUUUUGGCUGAACUGACAUUCCACAAAGUCAUCCCAGGCUCUUAGCCAGACUCUCUGGGUACACUCACUUUGUCUCCGGAGAUAUGCAAGCUCCUCAAAUUAAGGUGCAAAACAUGCAUUGACUACAGGUUACUAAAAGCUUUUAUUGGUCAGUGAAGUCACACGGUUAGUUUUAUUAUGUUUGGGGAAAAUUACUGCCAAUUCCAUGAAAGAAGAUUUGACCCAGCACCAGUGGGAAGCAGUGAUCAGAAAAUGGGCUGCCGAAACAGGCUUGGACUGAGGGUGUGAAUGGGAAGAAAAACGCUAUCUUACAGAGGUAAUUAAAAUGUUCUGACCAAUUAUCUACAGGCGAGAAAAGAGAAGGGUCAGGUAUAACAUUUCUGGUUGUAUUCCUGCAGACAGUUUGCUGGUAGAACUGGAGUUAGCAACUAUGCCACUGAUAGAAACAGGAGACAGCCAAGGGUCCCCGGAGAAACCCUGCCUUCAAGCCUAAAACGCCCUGCAGGCUGAAAAACCAGCUGCUGGUCCUGGAUGAAACCCACAACCCAGAGGGAGAACUGCCCCUGUUUGCCCGCCCUUUCCCAGCCGAUUCUUUCAGAAUAAGGCCCACAUGCGCACCGGGGAAACGGGGUCGAGCCACAGAAAGUUGCGCCUUGUUCAAUGGGGAGGAGUCUGGUCUCUUCAGUUUUCCUGUGCGUGGCCUGGAAUCAAUCUGUGAGGUGGGGGCCUAUUGGCAGGAUCCCCUCUCGCUUUCUUGAGAGUUUUUUUCUUUUUUUCCUUUUUGCCCAGUAAAUUCUGUUCCCCACACCCUUCAAUGUGUCCACGUGCCUAAAUUUUCCAGUUCUUGAUAUAAGAACCUGGAUUUAGCUGAACUAAGGAGCAAAAAUUCUCCUUAGAAUUUUUGGAAGGUUGGUGUAAAGUUAACAGUUGCAGCCACCUGACGGUUUCUAAAUCCCAGGUUUCUUGUAUUACCCAUUGCUCUUUUUCUCUAGCCUUUUAAAGCAGACCUGUAAGAGACCAGGCCAGCUUUAGCAUUUCUUUUGUCUUUUAAUCUGUAAGUUUUGUGCUUGAGCAGGAAGCAGACAGGUUACCUUUUUAAGACACUAAAGGAGAUGAGAUGAAAUUAUUUGUAUGAUCAAAAUGCAUAUUUAGAAUGUGCAUCUGUAAGUUUUCCAUGAUUAAGUUCUUGGGAAAAAAUUUUCAUUUUCCUACUUGGGAUUAAAGAAAAUUCAUCAUAAUAGCGUAGUUAGAAGAGUGAAUGUGAGGAUGCAAAGCCAAGCAAUAUUUAAAUUUACCAAUCUAAGAAGAAAUCUUUAAUCUGGCAUUAUGGCCAAUGAAUCUCAUGUAAAAUUUUCUUCCAGAUGCCCACACAGCUUAACUUUUAGAAACACAACACAGGAUAUUUCAGAGAUAAGCUGUGAUGAGUUCAGGACACGCUACCCCCAAAAUAUGACACAGUGGCAUAUGUAAUAUUUUAGGUGGAAGGAAUUUGAGAAAUAUCAUGAGUGGGAAGUGUCUUCUGACCUUCCCAUGAAGCAGAUCAUAACAACCUCAUGUGAAAGGUGCCCUCCCUAUACCCAGAUGAAAGGAGCAGCCUUCUCUCUGAAGACACAGGGACACAGACAAGAACUGAAUGAAGGGAUUUUGCUCAGUUUUCCCCAGUUUACUCAUACCCUUUAUGCUAUCACAUUUUCCCAUAACUUUCCACUUUUCAUUAAACCUAGAAUAAAAACUCUCAGGUUAAACUGUUUCUUUGCGUCUUCAUUUCCUUAUGAAAACUCCCAUGUCACAUAAAACUUAAAUAAAUGUGCAUGCUUUUCUCUUGUUAAUCUCUUUUGUUACAGGAGUACCAGCCAAUGCACGUUAAGAUGAGUAGAAGGAAAAGAUGUUUUUCCUCCUCUAUAGCUACAUAGUCACAAACAAGGCUGUACCUGUAUAAGGUUUCUUUGGAUAGCAGUGAGUAAAACCUACGCGGAGAGGUUCUAUGCCGAAGGAAUUUUGCUUACUGGAGGACCAGAAACACACGCGCGCGCGCGCGCACACACACACACACACACACACGGGCAGGGGACAAGGGCGUGGCAAAGGGCUCAGAGUGAUUAGGGAACAUGAGCCUUAUGGAAACCAAAGGAUCCUGGAAAGCAGUAAUAGUCAUUGCUGACAUUCAUUAAUAGCUUAUUAUGAGUGUGUGUGUGCAACACACACACACACACAGAGAAAGAGAGAGAGAUUGAUUCUGCUUUUUCUGGAACUAGAGCUAGAAAUGUGGUUUAGGAGGGUUAGGAUACAAAUCCUAUUCCUUUGGGAUUGCAUCCUUCAAAGGGUGUAUGAGGAGAAUUAUCAUUUCUUUAAUAGUGCUUGGCCCUAAACUUUCCCACAAGUCUGGUCAUGGAAAGCUUUCCCAAGGAGUUCUGCUUUGAGUAUUUAUAUCCGUCUGACUUCUAGGAAAAAGCCAAGAAAUAGACAGAGAGACAAAGAAUACCCUAAAGACACUUAGAGAUGUACCAGAUUGUAAUGUUGCAAAUUUCUUAGGACAAUAUCAUAUAUCAGAAGAGAGUGGGUUUACUUGGAUAGGAGUCAGAAAUUUGGGGAAAUAAUGGCUGUGUUAGCAAAUGCGCCUUCACCCUACCAAGAAGGCUUGUUUUUCUUAGCACACAGUGGAUUUAAAGUUACAGCCUGAGUGGAUAUUCCCAGCUCAGUUGAUUUCUCAUGAGCCACAUAUAUUCACAUGCCCCAGACAAGAUUAUUUCCAGUUUUCAGCACUCGUAGUUCUGGGAAGGGAGAGCUAAAUUAUGUGAGAGCACUCUCAGUGGGGGGACACAUAGAGAGAGUUGUUCUAGCAGCAAUAAAACUAGGGCAAUAAGGGGAAUUGAAGGUUAGGCAAGUCUGAGGCCUCAGACAUGGUGUUCAAUCAAUUAUAACAGAAGGACCUGCAUUGAUUCCAGCUGAAAUCUUAAGUAGGUAGCAGCUAGAUUAGCCUCAACAGAGAAAACAAUUAUUUUGGGGGCUACCUGUGGAGAUGAACUCCCUAAAAAGCUCUAAUUUUUAGAAAAUAUUUCUUAUCGUUUCAACAAACAUUAUGAAGUAUAUUCUGGACACUGGGAAUAGAAAAGUGAGUACGAAGACCCUUUCCUCAAAGGUUUUCUAGUCUUUUCACAAAUUUCUUAUGGGUUUGACAACAGAAAUGAUACUUGAGAAUAUUUAUACCUAUAAUUAAUAAAUUAAUUUUUGCCAUGAAGAAGGAAGACAAAAGAACAUCCAAAAAUUCAUAAAAUACUCUCAACAAAGUAAAAGUUUAUUCCACAUUGAAUCAAAGUAUUAAUUUCAUUUUCUGCAGAUUUUUCAAAUUGGCACUUGCCGUUAAUAAGAAACUUUUACUUUGUUUCCAUGAUUUAUAUAAGGUAAUUUAUAUCAUUCAACUUGCUGUAAAAGUUGAGACUGUUGGAAUUUCUUCAGUAGUUCCACUUCCAACCUUGUGCAGGAACUAUUUCUAACUUCCUAUUUUCAGUCUCCCCAUCUGCAAAAUGGAUUUAAUGACACAUUCACCCAAUAGAUUUUUAAAUAAGUAUUUAAAAAGCAAAUAUAGGGCUGGGUGCGGGGGCUCAUGCCUAUAAUCCCAGCACUUUGGGAGGCUCAGGCGGGCAGAUCAUUUGAAGCCAGGAGUUUGAGAACAGCCCAGGCAACGUGGCGAAACCUAUCUCUACUAAAAAUAUGAAAAUUAGCCUGGCGUGGUGACACAUGCCUGUAAUCCCAGCUACUCAGGAGCCUGAGGUGGGAGAAUCCCUUGAACCCGAGACGAGGAGGUUGCUGAGAUUGUGCCACUGUACUCCAGCCUGGAUGACAGAGUGAGACUGUAUCUAAAAAAAUUAGAAUUAAAAUUAAAAAGUAAAUAUAUAUAUAAAGCACAAAAAAGAGUAACUUACUCAUAGUAAGCUAUUAAUGAAUGUCAGCAACGACUAUUACUACUUUCCAGGGUCCUUUGGUUUCCAUAAGGCUCAUGUUCCCUAAUCACUCUGAGUCCUUUGCCACGCCCUUGUCCCCUGCCCGUAGUGUGAAGUGCUAUUCCCUAUUUAGAGAGCAAUAGCCACUGCUUUAUGUUCUUCACCUGGGAAGGGCUGAUCCAGCAACGAUCCCCAACAGAGGGAUUGGAUCUUUUUCUUCUUCUUUCUCACAAAGACCAAUGGGAGGCGGAGACCUAGGUAAGUGGGUCUGCUCUGUGUACUGGAAUUUUCACUCAGGUGGGCAGUUCCAAGGUCUAUAUGGGAGGGGAGGGGAGGAACAAGCAUAUUUUCACUUUCAUUCUCACUCUGGGCUAGGUCUCUUUUAUACUUGAUUUUGGUGCUCCAUGUUCUCAUGCUGUUGUCAUAUUUCUCACAUUAAACAGAACCUGGGAGCAGGAAGCAGCCAAGGGAAGAGGUGAUUUUUAUUCAACCCUUCAAAAUGCCAAUGUUGUUAAUAAUAUUGUAGCACUACUAAUAAUGCAGACUGUGAUGGCCUCUAUGUCCAGAAGGUCAGAAGUUACCUCAGCCCGCUCCAGGGACACACGGAGGCCAUAGCAUAACGUGGGGCCCAAAGCCAUCUGUUCACAGCAGUGAUACUGACGUAUGGAAUCUGAGGAGCAUUUUGAGAAGCUCUUUUGGUGCAGGUUUUUCAAGCCUCAUCAUUGCAGUAACUCUGGAGCUAUGUUAAGAAACCCAAAAGAGGCAAAAAGAGUAAUGAGAGCCAAGAGGGGUGCCAAGAGAUUCAGGUUUCAUGUGUGACAUUUGAAACAAAAGAUUGGGAAGCGACCUGGAGAAAUUUCCUGAUUUGGUAUUUAGCUGUUCACUGGCCUUGACCUCUGGCCUUGGCCAUGAGGAAAUGGUUAAAGUCAUUGACAAAGAAAAGAGAGCAGAGAAUGGUGUGUGUGUGUGUGUGUGUGUGUGUGUGUGUGUGUGUGUGUGUCUGUGUCCUGCCUCAUAGCCGUUGAUGAAGAUUUUCUCCUUGACUAAACACCAGCCAAGCUCCUCUGAGUCCUCUUCUCAACUAACCCUCAACCUUGGCCUAAAACCACAAAAUGUCAGCAUAAACAAUUUCAUCCACCCCUGUCCCCCACUUUAAAAGACAUGAACAAAUACUAACAUAGUUUCUAACAGCUCAAGGGCAUAUCCUUAGGAUGAUGACUCCAGCGCCAUAAGUUCCUGACUGAGAAAGCUCAGGGUUGCAAAACAAUUUACUGUUUUGUACCAGCCAACACCUGAAUAGGGUCCCUGUCUCCCAGUCUUGGAGGGGGAGUAGGAAUCUAACUUUGAUAAAUGCCAGUUUGCAAACCAAGGUAGCUCCACAUGGACCAACCCCACUUUCUCACAUUUUGUAAAUGUCCACUUCCCUGAUUCUGCUCAAGCCCCUGCUGUUCCCUGUCCCUAGCUCCUCAUCCUUCCUCUAUAAGGCCUAGCCACCUCUGCACAAAUCGUAGUUCAGUUCAGUUCACACUGGACCUACUUCUCUAUUGCAAUUAUUUAUGACUAAUGAAAAUUUGUCUUUACCACUUCCCUCGGUGUCUGGUUUUCUUUAUCUUUGACAGCACCUUCAGCAAUACACAUUCUGAUAUCCUGGGGGAUCUGAUUUUUGAGGCUGAUGAGGCACUUAGUAGGGUAACUAUUUCCAGGAAAAGCUCAGUGAGCAAGAAGAGGAUGAAAACCAACCAGGCAAUGGUUGGAGGAAAGCGCGGCUCAGAUGAAAACAUUAGGAGUGACAUUUUUUAAAGAAAGAAUAUUUCUAAUAGAAAAAGCAUUUGGAUCCUCAGUUAAACAAUUUCGAAGAAAUAUUCCUCAUGGCAAGGAGUUUUAAAUAGAAGAACGUUCUGGUCCCCUAAACUUACUCUCUUGCCUUCUCUCCUUUCUGAUUAAAAAAUUUACUGUUUCUAAACCUUCCUUUUUUCUACCUAUAAAACAUACAAAUUUUAUUAAAAUGAGUCACAUGAGUUUCUAUACACAAGAAAAUGUUAAUGUAAGAAAAAUUAUUAUAUUAUUUGAUUUAGGGAAUUGACUUAAUUUAUACAAUCUGAAUUAUUUUUAUUCUUUAUCCAUGUUCUGGCCUUUAACAACAUUUGUUUCCUUGAUAUAGUUCCUUGUUAUAUAGUUUUGUAAUUUAACUUUAUGUCUUAAAGGUCCAGAAAGCAAACUUAGAUUAAGACAAAUAAAAUAAAACAGACAGUAGAGAUAUCAAUAGAUUUACUUAGAUCCAUUCACUUAACAUCAAUGCAUAACACAUUCCAAAAGCGAG